AGCUUGUUAGAUAAUGCGCAAUAGUAGCGCUUAGCUCUCCUAAGGCUAAGGCUGUAGGUUCGAGUUCUAUAUCGGUUG
rnacentral:tRNA from 1 species